AUUGAACGCUGGCGGCAGGCCUAACACAUGCAAGUCGAGCGGAUGAAGGGAGCUUGCUCCUGGAUUCAGCGGCGGACGGGUGAGUAAUGCCUAGGAAUCUGCCUGGUAGUGGGGGAUAACGUCCGGAAACGGGCGCUAAUACCGCAUACGUCCUGAGGGAGAAAGUGGGGGAUCUUCGGACCUCACGCUAUCAGAUGAGCCUAGGUCGGAUUAGCUAGUUGGUGGGGUAAAGGCCUACCAAGGCGACGAUCCGUAACUGGUCUGAGAAGAUGAUCAGUCACACUGGAACUGAGACACGGUCCAGACUCCUACGGGAGGCAGCAGUGGAGAAUAUUGGACGAUGGGCGAAAGCCUGAUCCAGCCAUGCCGAGUGUGUGAAGAAGGUCUUCGGAUUGUAAAGCACUUUAAGUUGGGAGGAAGGGCAGUAAGUUAAUACCUUGCUGUUUUGACGUUACCAACAGAAUAAGCACCGGCUAACUUCGUG
rnacentral:rRNA from 1 species